rnacentral:rRNA from 1 species
UGAGCAAUCUGCCCUUCUCAUCGGAAUAAGCGUUGGAAACGACGUCUAAUGCCGAAUACGACCUCCUUUCGCAUGAUCGGAGGUGGUAAGCUCCGGCGGAGAAGGAUGAGCUCGCGGCCUAUCAGCUAGUUGGUGUGGGUAAUGGCCCACCAAGGCGACGACGGGUAGCCGGCCUGAGGAGGGUGACCCGGCCACACGUGGGACUGAGACACCGGCCCGGACUCCGUACGGGAGNAG